CAAUCAUCAGAUAAUCAAACAAGAAGCGUUUUUCUGAACUUAUAUUUUCUGCCAGCGUAUGACUAUAAACUAAUAUGAAUUCACUCAUCAUAUGAGACACGUGUUUGAUGUGCGCGUGCUUCAUCUGCAAUAGUAGGUAGGCUACUUUAACUUACAAUUAACUUGCUGCAAUUUCACUUUAGUGUAACGUUGACAUCUGUGGGGUGAAAAAUGGAGCUUCUGACAAGCGGCUCGCUGGAUUUUCUUUAACAUUUACAACAUCAUAACUUGCAUUUUUCUUGACCAACAGCUUUCGUCGUGUUUAUCAAGGCGUGAAGAAAUUUGUAAAACUGCACAGCGAUAGUACGUUCCAAGACUUUCUCACUGAAGAGCUGAUGAAGCUGAAGUUAUGCAAAAGGUGAAUGAAACUUUCAGAAGAACUGGUACAUAAUCCUGAAAGAUCAGCUGACGUCCUUGAUGUCUUUCCAAGAUAUUUGGAUGUAAAAGAAUUGCCUAUCAAAACAACAACACUGUGGGAGACUGCAUUCAAGCAAAAGAUCUUCAGUGAAGCCCAGUCUCUUACUUCAGCAGCAGAAAUUCAGUGUCUUCUCAAUGCAGCAGGUGGACAAGGACCUAAAAAUGGUUGAAAUGAUUUGUGAGGAUGUCAGUUUCAUAUUUGCUCUGGUUUCUUGUUAUUGUGAGCACUAAAUGCUUGUUUUUGUUUUAUCCUAAAUCGCCCACCACCCCCUAAACAUCAUCUCAUUCAGAUUGGGACAGUGACAUGUCAUCUGUCCAGCUGCAGUUGCAUCUCCUGCCUCCUGCUCUAGGGAGGAAGAAGACUAAGAUCAGUCCAACAGAGGCUGCUGACAGACUUGUGCAUUUCCAUAAGGUAAAACUAGCAGUACUGUUGCAGAGUCAUUGUGAAUGUUUAAAUGCAGUGGUUUUAAUCAUGGUCCUUGGGAUUCACCCCUCUGCACAUUUUUGU